rnacentral:tRNA from 1 species
AACAGGGUGCCUGAUUAAAGGAUUAUCUUGAUAGGAUAAAUUAAGUAAUUAUUUUCUAUUACCCCUGUUA